AGAACCAAUUUCUGUCCAAUAUAGAAUUGGUGGCGUAGAACAUGGCCACUUUCGAGUUUGGACUAUUUUUCUUCUCAAUUGUUUUCUAUUUAUCUGUAUUGGAGUAUUUGCAUUGCUGAUUCCGUAAGAUCAUUUGAAUGUAAUUAUUAUUAUGAUUCAACAAGUAGCUCGAGUGGCCUCAAGUAGUUCAGAUAUAAUAUGGUUCAGAUAUAAAUUAAGUGACCUCGAGUAUCACAAGUGUAGUUCAGGCAUAUAGAACUCUUUCAGGUGUUUAUCUAUAAAAGCCUACUUGAUAUUUUCGCAUUAAUUCAGAUAUAGUAUGGAGUUUAUCUUUUUUCUACGAAUUGAUAUGUGCAGAUUUCAUUAAUGAUGAUAAGCUAGCCUCAAGUAGUCCUCUCCCUCUCCCUCUGGAAAAUGUAUGCAUACUCUAUGACUAAUGGAGUUCUCUCGUGGCUUAUAUGGAUAAUUUAUAGUUAACUAAUUUGAAAACCUGAUUGUAUUAAAUGCUUUACCUAAUGUUUGCAUGACUCAUGGUAGAUUUCAGGUUUGGGUAUCUGAUAAUGGCCCAUUUGAUCCUUCUUCUGAAAGUAAAUUGGCUACAUUAGGCAAGAAGGGUUUGAGUGGCAUCUGAUCUCGCUGCUGGUAAUCAACAAUCAUAUUCUUGGCAUCAAUGCUUUCCAGGCAGGGCUAACAUUUCAAUGGGAGCAAAGCAUCCCAAAAUCGUUGUAUUGGGAGCUGGUAGGAAGUUUUCCAUAUGAGAGUACCUACAAGUUGCACGUUUUAUUCUUCAUUAUCUUUCCAGCAUUGUUUGGGUAUUUGGGAGCAACUUUACAAUCUAAAACUAUCUGCAAGCUAUAAGUUUUCUUUUUUCUUAUACUUCCUAUUUAUUCUGGAUGCUACAUUUAUCUGAAAUGUCUUAUCACUGAUAUAUAAAAGCUAUUCUUUUUGAUGCUAUCAUGACAGUUGAUGUAUGAUGCAUGUCAUGCUGGGAGGAGCUGAUGCGUGCCGUGCCGUCGCCCAGAAGAGCUGUCGUGCAUGUCGUUUGGGAGGAAUCCAGACGAGCAGGUUAAAAAAAAAGGAGAAGCCUGACUUUUAUUUCGUGAUGUUGGUGCUUUGUUCAAAAGGAAGAUAUGAUAUCUAG